rnacentral:rRNA from 1 species
GAUGAACGCUGGCGGCGUGCCUAAUACAUGCAAGUAGAACGCUGAAGCUUGGUGCUUGCACCGAGCGGAAGAGUUGCGAACGGGUGAGUAACGCGUAGGUAACCUGCCUCUUAGCGGGGGAUAACUAUUGGAAACGAUAGCUAAUACCGCAUAAAAGUCGGCAUUGCAUGAUGUUGACUUGAAAGGUGCAACUGCAUCACUAAGAGAUGGACCUGCGUUGUAUUAGCUAGUUGGUGAGGUAACGGCUCACCAAGGCGACGAUACAUAGCCGACCUGAGAGGGUGAUCGGCCACACUGGGACUGAGACACGGCCCAGACUCCUACGGGAGGCAGCAGUAGGGAAUCUUCGGCAAUGGACGGAAGUCUGACCGAGCAACGCCGCGUGAGUGAAGAAGGUUUUCGGAUCGUAAAGCUCUGUUGUAAGAGAAGAACGAGUGUGAGAGUGGAAAGUUCACACUGUGACGGUAACUUACCAGAAAGGGACGGCUAACUACGUGCCAGCAGCCGCGGUAAUACGUAGGUCCCGAGCGUUAUCCGGAUUUAUUGGGCGUAAAGCGAGCGCAGGCGGUUAGAUAAGUCUGAAGUUAAAGGCUGUGGCUUAACCAUAGUACGCUUUGGAAACUGUUUAACUUGAGUGCAGAAGGGGAGAGUGGAAUUCCAUGUGUAGCGGUGAAAUGCGUAGAUAUAUGGAGGAACACCGGUGGCGAAAGCGGCUCUCUGGUC